rnacentral:rRNA from 1 species
GAUGGACCCGCGGUGCAUUAGCUAGUUGGUGAGGUAACGGCUCACCAAGGCGACGAUGCGUAGCCGACCUGAGAGGGUGAUCGGCCACACUGGGACUGAGACACGGCCCAGACUCCUACGGGAGGCAGCAGUAGGGAAUCUUCCGCAAUGGACGAAAGUCUGACGGAGCAACGCCGCGUGAGUGAUGAAGGUUUUCGGAUCGUAAAGCUCUGUUGUUAGGGAAGAACAAGUACCGUUCGAAUAGGGCGGUACCUUGACGGUACCUAACCAGAAAGCCACGGCUAACUACGUGCCAGCAGCCGCGGUAAUACGUAGGUGGCAAGCGUUGUCCGGAAUUAUUGGGCGUAAAGGGCUCGCAGGCGGUUUCUUAAGUCUGAUGUGAAAGCCCCCGGCUCAACCGGGGAGGGUCAUUGGAAACUGGGAAACUUGAGUGCAGAAGAGGAGAGUGGAAUUCCACGUGUAGCGGUGAAAUGCGUAGAGAUGUGGAGGAACACCAGUGGCGAAGGCGACUCUCUGGUCUGUAACUGACGCUGAGGAGCGAAAGCGUGGGGAGCGAACAGGAUUAGAUACCCUGGUAGUCCACGCCGUAAACGAUGAGUGCUAAGUGUUAGGGGGUUUCCGCCCCUUAGUGCUGCAGCUAACGCAUUAAGCACUCCGCCUGGGGAGUACGGUCGCAAGACUGAAACUCAAAGGAAUUGACGGGGGCCCGCACAAGCGGUAGA